rnacentral:rRNA from 1 species
GUCUACGGCCAUACCACCCUGAAUGUGUCUGAUCUCGUCUAAUCUUGGAAGCUAAGCAGGGUCAGGUCUGAUUAGUACUUGGAUGGGAGACACCCACAAUACCAUGUGCCCCACAGUUAAAAUAAGUGCAGGGUCA